UACAGAGGGUGCAAGCGUUAAUCGGAAUUACUGGGCGUAAAGCGUGCGUAGACGGUUAUGUAAGUCAGAUGUGAAAUCCCCGGACUCAACCUGGGACUUGACGUUUGAAACUACAAGGCUAGAGUGGUAGCAGAGGGGGUAGAAGUUCCAACGUGUAGCAGUGAAAUGCGUAGAGAUGUGGACGGAAUGACCAAUGGCGAAGGCAGCCCCCUGGGUUAACACUGACGCGCAUGCACGAAAGCGUGGGGAGCA
rnacentral:rRNA from 1 species